UAAGCAUAAGCUUAAAUAAAGUGAAGCCGCGAAUAGCUCAUUACAACAGCCGUUGUUUAUUAGAUCUUAUAUCCUACUUGGAUAACUGUGGUAAUUCUAGAGCUAAUACAUGCAACAAUACCCAGACCUCACGGAAUGGGUGCACUUAUUAGACUAAAACCAAUCGGACUUCGGUCCGCCAAAUGGUGAAUCUGAAUAACUCAGCUGAUCGCAUGGUCUUUGCACCAGCGACAGAUCUUUCAAAUGUCUGUCCUAUCAACUUUCGAUGGUAGUUUACACGCCUACCAUGGUUGUUACGGGUAACG
rnacentral:rRNA from 1 species